rnacentral:rRNA from 1 species
AACGAACGCUUGCGGCAGGCCUAACACAUACAAGUCGAGCGCGCCCUUCGGGGUGAGCGGCGGACGGGGGGGUAACGCGUGGGAACGUGCCCUUUUCUACGGAAUAGCCUCGGGAAAAAGAGAGUAAUACCGAAUACGCCACUGGGGGGAAAGAUUUAUCGGAAAAGGGUCGGCCCGCGUUGGAUUGGGUAGUUGGGGGGGGAAUGGCCUAUCAAGCCGACGAUCCAUAGCUGGUUUGAGAGGAUGAUCAGCCACACUGGGACUGAGACACGGCCCAGACUCCUACGGGAGGCAGCAGUGGGGAAUCUUAGACAAUGGGGGCAACCCUGAUCUAGCCAUGCCGCGUGAGUGAUGAAGGCCUUAGGGUUGUAAAGCUCUUUCAGCUGGGAAGAUAAUGACGGUACCAGCAGAAGAAGCCCCGGCUAACUCCGUG